rnacentral:rRNA from 1 species
CCUACGGGAGGCAGCAGUGAGGAAUAUUGGUCAAUGGGCGCGAGCCUGAACCAGCCAAGUAGCGUGAAGGAUGACGGCCCUACGGGUUGUAAACUUCUUUUAUCAAGGAAUAAAAUGAGGCACGUGUGCCCUUUUGUGUGUACUUUAUGAAUAAGCAUAGGCUAACUCCGUGCCAGCAGCCGCGGUAAUACGGAGGAUCCGAGCGUUAUCCGGAUUUAUUGGGUUUAAAGGGAGCGUAGAUGGGCUGUUAAGUCAGUGGUGAAAGGUUGCGGCUCAACCGUAGAAUUGCAGUUGAUACUGGCAGGCUUGAGUAGAGUAGAGGUAGGCGGAAUUCGUGGUGUAGCGGUGAAAUGCUUAGAUAUCACGAAGAACUCCGAUUGCGAAGGCAGCUUACUGGACUGCCACUGACGUUGAGGCUCGAAAGUGUGGGUAUCAAACAGGAUUAGAUACCCCUGUAGUC